rnacentral:rRNA from 1 species
GGGGAUAACACUUAGAAAUAGGUGCUAAUACCGCAUAAGCGCACGGAGCUGCAUGGCUCAGUGUGAAAAACUCCGGUGGUGCAAGAUGGACCCGCGUCUGAUUAGCUUGUUGGCGGGGUAACGGCCCACCAAGGCGACGAUCAGUAGCCGGCCUGAGAGGGUGGACGGCCACAUUGGGACUGAGACACGGCCCAAACUCCUACGGGAGGCAGCAGUGGGGAAUAUUGGACAAUGGGGGAACCCUGAUCCAGCGACGCCGCGUGAGUGAAGAAGUAUCUCGGUAUGUAAAGCUCUAUCAGCAGGGAAGAAAGAAAUGACGGUACCUGACCAAGAAGCCCCGGCUAACUACGUGCCAGCAGCCGCGGUAAUACGUAGGGGGCAAGCGUUAUCCGGAUUUACUGGGUGUAAAGGGAGCGUAGACGGUAAUGCAAGUCUGGAGUGAAGUGCAGGGGCUCAACCCCUGAACUGCUUUGGAAACUGUAUGACUGGAGUGCAGGAGAGGUAAGUGGAAUUCCUAGUGUAGCGGUGAAAUGCGUAGAUAUUAGGAGGAACACCAGUGGCGAAGGCGGCUUACUGGACUGUAACUGACGUUGAGGCUCGAAAGCGUGGGGAGCAAACAGGAUUAGAUACCCUGGUAGUCCACGCCGUAAACGAUGAU